GCCAGUGUUCUGGCAGAGGAGAGGGGUGAGGCGAAACAGUAGGUUGGAGAACUGCGAGUGGCCCUUCUGCCUCCACUUUAGAGGCUUGGUUGCGAAGGAGAAUGAAAAGAUCUAUUAAGAUUCCUGCUGAGUCACCGCUCCUCCCACCUGCCGCUGUCACUGGGCCACGUGGCUUCUUUCCCAACACGCAGACCCAGAAGUGUGUGUUAUGCAAACGAAGAGCAAGCUGGAGAACACCAUCCCCUCCCGCCCACCAAGAAGCACUUCAGGGGCUUUUUAUGUAACUCAGAGAUUAACCGACACGAGGUGCCUGAGGUGCCUGUGGAGAAGAGCCUCAGGAGAAGCCAGUCUUGAAUCCAGCACUUCGAGGUCACUGGGAUCAUCACAGGGGGCUGCUCAGAGAGGGCUGGAUCCAGUGGCUGCUUCUCCUCACGGCAUCAAAGGCCUGCAGAGAGUCAACAACCAUAGUGCCGCACUGAACUGCAGUGGUGUUCCCUGCCUUGGUACUGACUGGCUCAGCAGGCCUGAGGGUUAACCACAUGAAAACAUCAGCGGCCCACAAGUGGCUCCAGGCUUCUCUCCAUGUUCUUGUGCAGCCAGCCCUGCUCAGAAGCUUGACCUGGUGGAGGACUUCCUCUGCAGGACUGAAGUUGGGGUGUUCUGAACCCUCUACUGUACUUGUGCUGGAGCUGAUGGGCUUUCCUAGGAGCUGGAGCAUGAGCAGGGAGAGACAGAAUGGGGCUGAGCAGAUGGCUCAGCUGGCAGAGGCCUUGCCUGGGAAGCAUGAGGUCCUGGGUUCUGAUCCCCAGCACCCAAGUAAACAGCGUAAAGUGCAUUUGUCAGUCCAGUCCUGGGGUGCACAGAGACUAAAGAUCCCUGAGGCUUGCUGGUAAGUCAGCCUAGCCAAACUGGUGAGCUCCAGAGUCAGUGCAAGACCCUGUCUCAGAAAAUAAGGUGAGCCUUAGCCCUGCCCCUUGCUGCCUGCGGCAGAAAAGGAGCUGACUCUCCCACUUAUCUGAUGCAGCACCCGGAAAAGGCCUUGCUCCUCACCUGGGCAGCACAGUAGAACUGACCCUAUUAACAGGGGUGCUGGUGAACGGGCCCCCAGAAAGUGAAUGCAGGAGGGAGGUCUGGCCCCACCCUUCAUCUGACCUCUGACCUAUGGUGGUCUGGAUGGGAGAAUGAUCUCAUCUUGUCACCUGUGGCAGGUGGGAGAGCUGGCCCUGCCCCUCACCUGCAGCUCUCUGGAGGGUGGCCCUUACACCUUGCCUGGUCAACACAGUAGACCCAGCUUUGACUGUGCAGGUGUGGUGGAGCUGACCCUGAGGGCAAGAAAACUGACCCCACCCCUUACUAAUCUUUGCAAGAGGUGAAUUAGCCAGGGCAAUGCUGGAGAAUUCACCCUGGUGGUGAGAACAAGGAAGAGCUGGCGGACUGUGACUAACUCUGCAACUACCCAGGUCCAGGACCAGGGCUAUAAAUUGGUCUAUCCCAACAUCCACCCCAUCUGUGAUCUGCUCGAGCAUCUUUUUUUGGGGGUGAGGUUGCAAGGGCAGAGGCUUGUUAUGAAGGGGCAGAAGAAUGAAUGGGACAGAGAUGCAUGUGAAAGACAUGAAGAAUAAACAAAGUUUAAAAAGAAAGAAAAUAAGGAGAAAAAGAGAAAAAAAGGCAGGGAGCGAUGGAGGAAGUGCAUGGCAGUCAACCUCUGGCCUCACAGGAAGACACACAAACACACAAGCACACACA